CUACUCAGCACGUAGGACACGUGGUUGAGGAUAAAGAAUUCGGCGAUCUGCAAACGAAACGUACAACUUCCUUAUAAGCGAACAAAGUGACACGGCGGAUUAGCUCCAGUUCUGAUCGAGUCGAAGUCGAUUUCCCAGUAGAAAGAAGAAUCCUCGAGAAUCCCAUUUGGCAUUACGAAUCAUGCACGCGCGCAUAUCUCUCCACGUCCGAUUAUUCUUUAUAUCAAUGACACAGAAUCGUCAAUGCCUCUUAAGUAUAACGUUGCGUCACUGAUAAAGCCUAAACCUUCGAUGGAGGUCUCAGUCAGCAGCUUUAGCGACCCAUCAAACCUGAUGAUGCGUAAAUCGCGCGCGCGGAGGGUCGACGCCGCAAGUGGGAAUUGGAGGCUUUCCCGCGAAGAUUCGGCAUUAGUUGAUUCGCAAGGUCGGCGUGAUUGAGCUGACGCGCUGUAUGAUACGGAUUAUUCUUCCCGCGUCACCGAGUUAAUUCAUGCUGCCGAAGUGACGACAGAAUAUACGCACGUGAUAAUACGUGAUCUUCCAGCUCCGUUGGCAUUUAAAGCCUCGAUUCCAAGUAACGUCAGAGGCAAUAAGUGCUAAUAGAUGCAACACGACGGCCUUUUUUUCGUUCGCUGCGAACGCGAGAGAGCAGAACUGGAACGAAAAGGAGAGCUCGAACGAAAUGAGAAAAGGAAAGGUGGAAGGACGAGGAAACACGAUGCGCUGUAUAUCUCAAAAGAGACAAGUACCCAUGAAAGAAGAAGAAGAAGAAGAAGGAGAUAAAGUGAUCUAUGGAAGAAGUGGGAGAACGUGGACUACGUGCUGGCUUUCAGCAUCAACGAUACGCUUGCACAUUACGCGCAUACACGCGCGCGACAACGCUGUGCCAAUGUGGGGUAGGUAGUUAUCCAAUUGACAGUGCCCCGUCUGACAUAGUUCAGUCACGAGGCGGGCACAGGAUGAUCCUACGUCUCCUCCGACGGAGCGACAGUCGUUCCCUCGAAAUUGCGCUCGCCACGCGCGACGUUCCGCCUCGCUCUGUUCCCGAAAUCGCGCUGACGUCGUCGUCUACGGCGGUAUCGCGGUAAAUAGACGAGGAUACACGUAUAUAUAUUAUAUA